rnacentral:lncRNA from 1 species
UAAUGGAGACAUUAUUUUUAAAGAAGCAUAUUGAGACAUAAUAUAAAUUGAUUUGGAAUCGGUUAUCAUUGCACUUUAUUUCUAACAUUGAGUGAUUAUGAGAAUAUGGUAUUUUGGAUCAUUUGUGGUAGUUUGGGAACCUGAAAUGAGAGAAAAAGAACCUUUAAAGAUGGAUGUUUUUCAGAGUUACUAAGAACUAUGUUGGAUUUUUUUGCUGAUAAUAAAAAUACAUUUGUAGACACUGACAUUUUUCUAAUAUGUGAAUGUUAGACCAUCUUCUGUCCACAGAGCAUUGUCUAGUCCUAAGUGAUAGCUCUGUGUAUGAAAUUCAGCAUUUCUCCUCCAGAACCACGGGGAUUAUUAUCUUUAUAUUCUUUCUUGUAAAUAUCCCUU